AUACUUACCUGGCACGGGAGGCACCAUGAUCACGACGGCGGUCCUCCCAGGGCGAGGCCUUUCCAUUGCACUCCGGUUUGGCUGACCCCUGUGGUCACCUCAAAUGCGGGUGACUCGAGUGCGUAAUUUUUUCGUAUUCGUAGUGGGAACUGCAUUCGCGCUAUCCCCUG